UACGUAGGUGACCAGCGUUGUCCGGAUUUACUGGGCGUAAAGAGCGCGCAGGCGGUCGUUCAAGUCGAGUGUGAAAGCCCCCGGCUCAACUGGGGAGGGUCACUUGAUACUGAUCGACUCGAAGGCAGGAGAGGGAAGCGGAAUUCCCGGUGUAGUGGUGAAAUGCGUAGAUAUCGGGAGGAACACCAGUGGCGAAGGCGGCUUCCUGGCCUGUUCUUGACGCUGAGGCGCGAAAGCUAGGGGAGCAAACGG
rnacentral:rRNA from 1 species